rnacentral:rRNA from 1 species
CGGACGGGUGAGUAACACGUGGAUAACCUACCUAUAAGACUGGGAUAACUUCGGGAAACCGGAGCUAAUACCGGAUAACAUGUUGAACCGCAUGGUUCAACAGUGAAAGACGGUCUUGCUGUCACUUAUAGAUGGAUCCGCGCCGCAUUAGCUAGUUGGUAAGGUAACGGCUUACCAAGGCAACGAUGCGUAGCCGGCCUGAGAGGGUGAUCGGCCACACUGGAACUGAGACACGGUCCAG